AUUGAACGCUGGCGGCAUGCUUUACACAUGCAAGUCGAACGGUAACAGGCCGCAAGGUGCUGACGAGUGGCGAACGGGUGAGUAAUGCAUCGGAACGUGCCCAGUCGUGGGGGAUAACGCAGCGAAAGCUGCGCUAAUACCGCAUACGAUCUAUGGAUGAAAGCGGGGGACCGUAAGGCCUCGCGCGAUUGGAGCGGCCGAUGUCAGAUUCGGUAGUUGGUAAGGUAAAGGCUCACCAAGCCGACGAUCUGUAGCUGGUAUGAGAGGACGACCAUCCACACUGGGACUGAGACACGGCCAAGACUCCAAAGGGAGGCAGAGGUGGGGAGUUUUGCACACUGGGCGAAAGCCUCAGCCAGCAAUGCGGCGUGCAGGAUGAAAGCCUUCGGGUUGUAGACUGCUUUUGUACGGAACAAAAAGGACUGCCCUAAUACGGUGGUCCCAUGACGGUACCGUAAGAAUAAGCACCGGCUAACUACGUGCCAGCAGCCGCCGUAAGAC
rnacentral:rRNA from 1 species